rnacentral:rRNA from 1 species
GAUGAACGCUGGCGGCGUGCCUAAUACAUGCAAGUCGAGCGAACGGACGAGAAGCUUGCUUCUCUGAUGUUAGCGGCGGACGGGUGAGUAACACGUGGAUAACCUACCUAUAAGACUGGGAUAACUUCGGGAAACCGGAGCUAAUACCGGAUAAUAUUUUGAACCGCAUGGUUCAAAAGUGAAAGACGGUCUUGCUGUCACUUAUAGAUGGAUCCGCGCUGCAUUAGCUAGUUGGUAAGGUAACGGCUUACCAAGGCAACGAUGCAUAGCCGACCUGAGAGGGGGAACGGGCAACUGGGAAAGGGGACAGGGCCCAAAACCCGAGGGGGGGCAGGGGGAGGGAAUCUUCCGAAAGGGGGAAAGGCGUAAGGGGGAAACGCCGGGUGAGGAAUAAAGGGUUUCGGAUCGUAAAACUUGUUUAUAGGGGAGAAAAAAAUGUGAAGGUAACGGGGAAAAUUUGAAGGGACCCAAAGAAGAAAGCCAGGAUAAACCAGGG